CCGGCGCACGGGUGAGUAACACGUAUCCAACCUGCCGUCUACUCUUGGACAGCCUUCUGAAAGGAAGAUUAAUACAAGAUGGCAUCAUGAGUCCGCAUGUUCACAUGAUUAAAGGUAUUCCGGUAGACGAUGGGGAUGCGCUCCAUUAGAUAGUAGGCGGGGUAACGGCCCACCUAGUCUUCGAUGGAUAGGGGUUCUGAGAGGAAGGUCCCCCACAUUGGAACUGAGACACGGUCCAAACUCCUACGGGAGGCAGCAUG
rnacentral:rRNA from 1 species